AUUGAACGCUGGCGGCAGGCCUAACACAUGCAAGUCGAACGGUAACAGGAAGAAGCUUGCUUCUUUGCUGACGAGUGGCGGACGGGUGAGUAAUGUCUGGGAAACUGCCUGAUGGAGGGGGAUAACUACUGGAAACGGUAGCUAAUACCGCAUAAUGUCGCAAGACCAAAGAGGGGGACCUUCGGGCCUCUUGCCAUCGGAUGUGCCCAGAUGGGAUUAGCUAGUAGGUGGGGUAACGGCUCACCUAGGCGACGAUCCCUAGCUGGUCUGAGAGGAUGACCAGCCACACUGGAACUGAGACACGGUCCAGACUCCUACGGGAGGCAGCAGUGGGGAAUAUUGCACAAUGGGCGCAAGCCUGAUGCAGCUAUGCCGCGUGUAUGAAGAAGGCCUUCGGGUUGUAAAGUACUUUCAGCGGGGAGGAAGGGAGUAAAGUUAAUACCUUUGCUCAUUGACGUUACCCGCAGAAGAAGCGCCGGCUAACUCCGUG
rnacentral:rRNA from 1 species